CCUUAGAUGUUCUGGGCCGCACGCGCGCUACACUGACGGAGCCAGCGAGUACUUCCUUGUCCGAAAGGUCCGGGUAAUCUUGUUAAACUCCGUCGUGCUGGGGAUAGAGCAUUGCAAUUAUUGCUCUUCAACGAGGAAUCCCUAGUAAGCGCAAGUCAUCAGCUUGCGUUGAUUACGUCCCUGCCCUUUGUACACACCGCCCGUCGCUACUACCGAUUGAAUGGCUCAGUGAGGCGUUCGGACUGGCCCAGAGAGGUGGGCAACUACCACUCAGGGCCGGAAAGUUCUCCAAACUCGGUCAUUUAGAGGAAGUAAAAGUCGUAACAAGGUCUCCGUUGGUGAACCAGCGGAGGGAUCAUUA
rnacentral:rRNA from 2 species